rnacentral:rRNA from 1 species
GAUGAACGCUGGCGGCGUGCCUAAUACAUGCAAGUCGAGCGAACAGACGAGGAGCUUGCUCCUCUGACGUUAGCGGCGGACGGGUGAGUAACACGUGGAUAACCUACCUAUAAGACUGGGAUAACUUCGGGAAACCGGAGCUACUACCGGCUAAUAUAUUGAACCGCAUGGUUCAAUAGUGAAAGACGGUUUUGCUGUCACUUAUAGAUGGAUCCGCGCCGCAUUAGCUAGUUGGUAAGGUAACGGCUUACCAAGGCAACGAUGCGUAGCCGAGCUGAGAGGGUGAACCGCCACACUGGAACUGAGACACGGUCCAGACUCCCACGGGAGGCAGCAGUAGGGAAUCUUCCGCAAUGGGCGAAAGCCUGACGGAGCCACGCCGCGUGAGUGAUGAAGGUCUUCGGAGCGUAAAACUCUGUUAGUAGGGAAGAACAAAUGUGUAAGUAACUAUGCACUUCUUGACGGUACCUAAUCAGAAAGCCACGGCUAACUACGUG